rnacentral:rRNA from 1 species
CAAUAGCGUAUAUUAAAGUUGUUGCGGUUAAAAAGCUCGUAGUUGGAUUUCUGCGAGGGUGCCAAUGUCCGCCGACGCGCGUGCGCAGCGGCGCCCUCGCAUCCUUCUGUUACCACCUCUCGGCAUUCACUUGCCGGUGGUCGGCUCAGAGAAUUUACCUUGAGAAAAUUAGAGUGUUUCAGGCAGGCUAGGCCGGAAUACAUUAGCAUGGAAUAAUGGAAUAGGACUACGGUCUCGUUGUUGGUUUGAGGGACUGCAGUAAUGAUUAAUAGGGAUAGUUGGGGGCAUUAGUAUUUAAUUGUCAGAGGUGAAAUUCUCAGAUUUGUUAAAGACUAACUUAUGCGAAAGCAUUUGCCAAGGAUGUUUUCAUUAA